UCAGAACUUCCUGGGAAAGAAAAUAAAAAGAAACAUUUGCCAUCAACUGAUAAGGAGGAAGCUUCCCCUGCGGCCAGGCCCAGCACUCUAUUCACUGUCUUACCCAGUUGCCUCUGGAAAGAACACUUGGAAUCUGAGCCCCUAAGACCAGCCCAAUCCUUGCAAGAGAAACUCACAAAGUCUGGGUUGUGGCAAACCCGGGAC